UUGCAUGCUUGAAUUUGCUUUGAUUAUAAUCGGUAAAGUGAUUCUAGGGUUUUGGAUUCGACUCGAUAGUUUUAUUUGAUAAAGCUAUUAAUUUGCUUGUUUAAAUUUUUUAAAAAUUAUUUUUCGCUGCGUGGCCGGAACCCAACAUUUGUCACAUACAUUUUAAAGUGAAAAUCAAGUCAAAAUAGAACUAAAAUCCUAUCAAUUGAGUCUCUCUAUCUUAUGUAAAGCUCGUAAAAUAUGAUCCGACCCACCAAUCCAAUCCAUAUUCGAUCUACCAAAAAUAAGUUUGGAUUUAUACUAAACAGAUUUAGGUCAUACAUAAAUCGAUCUGUUCCAUCUAUUUAAUAUUUGGGUUGGAUUUGGAUUUCAGAUAUCUAAUCCAUUUAACUCAUUUAAUAUUCAGAUCGAGUUGAGUCAAAUAACAUGUUUAAUCUAUUUAAUUUAUUUAAUCCCUUUAACCUGAUUAAGACUUACUUAACAUGUUUAAAAUCUAUUUAAUC
rnacentral:lncRNA from 1 species